GCAGCCACUAGUGGGCGCUGUGAGACUGGCUCUGGACAGGCAAUGGGGGCAGGAGGAGGCUGGGGAUCUCAGGAGGAGCCCCGCUGGCUGUGUCUGUGGCUGCUCUGACCCCCUGGGAUCCCUUAUGAGUUACAGCUCAGCUGGGCUCCAUCCCCUCCCCCGAGAGACACGCCUUCCUCAUGGGACCCAGGACCCCAGAUUUAAAACUGAGUCUAGUUAAGAAAACCCAGAUUUGCAUCCAGCCCCCGCCCCCUCCCAGCCCCAUCCCAGGCUCCCAGGGAGAGGAUAAGAGGGGCCUGGCAGAGCCCGGACCCAGCUGGUUCUCUCUGGGGAGCAGAGCUCUUGGGGUCCCCUGCACCAUGGCCUGGCCUCUCGUCUGCCUCCUGCUGCUCACCUGCUGCUCAGGUUCCUUCUCCCAGUCUGUGCUGACUCAGGCUCCCUCCAUGUCUGUGUCCCUGGGAGCCACGGCCAGACUCUCCUGCACCCUCAGCAGUCAGCACAGUGACUACUAUAUUGGUUGGCACCAGCAGAGCCCGGGAAAGGCCCCUCAGUACCUCAUGUAUGUGGACAGUGAUGGAAGUGUGAGCAAGGGUGAGGGGAUCCCCGACCGCUUCUCGGGCUCCGGCUCUGGGACCGAUCGCUACUUGUCCAUCAGCAGCCUCCAACCUGAAGAUGAAGGCGAUUAUUACUGUGGGACACUUUAUGGUAGUGGUGGUAGCUAUGGUUACCACAGUGCUACAUUCAGUGAGGAAUGCGACAAAAAACCCCCCUGCCAGCCCGGACCUGGCCCAUGCUGCUGACUCAGCCCAGGCUGCCAGGGGACCAGAAGGUCUCUUUCUCUCUGCUUCUUCCUCUUUCACUUUUUCUUUCUUCCUUUUUCUGACUCUGCCUCUUUGUGCCUGAUAUUCUUCCUGUCUGUCUGUCUCCUCUCUCUGCCUCCCUUGUUCUCCAGCUGGGUGAGAUCAGAGUACAUGAGAGGAAUAGGUCUUGCACCCAGAUCUUCUGACCCCACAAGCUGGAUUUUACCCAUGUCUCAUCGGGACUCAGGGCAGAGAUUUA